rnacentral:lncRNA from 1 species
CCAGAGAAGCUGCAAGAAGCUUUGCUGGAAUCAGGUUUUGCAUCUCCGAAUCGGAGCUCCAUUUGUUGGGUCGGGGACCAUGCUUAGUGGUUCAAGAACUGACAGAAGAGGUGUUUGCAAAAUGCUUGUUGGGAGGAUAAACAGCUAAAGGAAAUUUUAUCUGAGCCUGAGAACCGCCUGCACCAGCACAAAAGUAAAGCCCCAGCGCCCUCGGGCCAGGCCUGCUGGAAAAAUUCCCAUGUGUCAGCCCCAGGAAGACGUGGGCAAGAUGAGGCGUAUCCUGACCAACGCAGGAAAUGGCCCUGCUCUUCUGCUGGCCCCUCUUCCACCAUCGAGGCCGCUCAUCCAAGCGGCGGGAAGUAAGAGGGUCAACUUUUGCACGGCCAUUGAGAGGUUUCCUGGAAACCUGGCUCUCUCCCCACCGUUGCCCCAUGAGCAUGGUGGUGACGAGCUUGGGCUCUGAGAUCAGAAAGUCUCAAGUGUGAAACCUCAGUCUUCUUCCUUAUUAGCUGUGAGACUUUGGGCAAAUUACUUAACCUCUCUGAACCUUAGUUUCCUCAAACUGUAAAAUGGGGCAAAUGUUGGGUGACACUCAGCAUAACGUCAGAAAUAGUGCCCAAUAAAUGUUGAUCUCAUCGGCCCCACA